AAUCAACGCUGGCGGCGUGCCUCAGACAUGCAAGUCGAACGAUUAAAGCUCUCUUCGGAGAGUGCAUAAAGUGGCGCACGGGUGAGUAACACGUAAGUAAUCUACCUUUGAGUGGGGAAUAACAGUCGGAAACGGCUGCUAAUACCGCAUAAUGCAGCGGCACCGCAAGGUGACAGUUGUUAAAGGAGCAAUCCGCUUAAAGAGGAGCUUGCGGCAGAUUAGCUAGUUGGUAAGGUAAUGGCUUACCAAGGCUAAGAC
rnacentral:rRNA from 1 species